CCUACGGGUGGCUGCAGUGGGGAAUUUUGGACAAUGGGGGCAACCCUGAUCCAGCCAUGCCGCGUGCGGGAAGAAGGCCUUCGGGUUGUAAACCGCUUUUGUCAGGAGAGAAAUCUCUUGGGCUAAUACCCUGAGAGGAUGACGGUACCUGAAGAAUAAGCACCGGCUAACUACGUGCCAGCAGCCGCGGUAAUACGUAGGGUGCAAGCGUUAAUGGGAAUUACUGGGCGUAAAUGGUGAGCACAGGGGUGAAAUCCCCGGGCUUAACCUGGGAAGUGCACUUGUGACGGCACGGCUAGAGUACGGCAGAGGGGGAUGGAAUUCCGCGUGUAGCAGUGAAAUGCGUAGAUAUGCGGAGGAACACCGAUGGCGAAGGCAGUCCCCUGGGCCUGUACUGACGCUCAUGCACGAAAGCGUGGGGAGCAAACAGGAGUAGAUACCCGAGUAGUC
rnacentral:rRNA from 1 species